rnacentral:rRNA from 1 species
CCCUAUUAUUAAAAUAUAAUUUGUAAUAAGUAUUUUAUUGAAAAUUAAUAAUUUUGGCGGUUAAUUAUUAUUUGGAGGAGCUUGUGCUUUAAUGGAUUUUGCUCUUUAUAUUUUAUUAAUACUUAAUUUAUUCAUCUCCGUUAUUAAGCUAAAUGGUAAAUAUUUAAUUAGAGUAAAUGUUAUUUAAGAUUUCAGGUCAAGAUGUAGUUUUAUUAAGGGGUAUUAGCUACAUUUAUAUAAUUAGUGGAAUAUUAGCCGAUUUUUAGGGGAGUAAUGCAAAUAGGAAAUUGAAUUUAGUUGUAAUGGUAAUUAGAAUAUUAGUAUGAAUAAAUUUAGUUAAUGU